rnacentral:rRNA from 1 species
UACGUAGGGUGCGAGCGUUGUCCGGAAUUAUUGGGCGUAAAGGGCUCGUAGGCGGUUUGUCGCGUCGGGAGUGAAAACACCGGGCUUAACUCGGUGCUUGCUUUCGAUACGGGCAGACUAGAGGCAUUCAGGGGAGAACGGAAUUCCUGGUGUAGCGGUGAAAUGCGCAGAUAUCAGGAGGAACACCGGUGGCGAAGGCGGUUCUCUGGGAAUGUCCUGACGCUGAGGAGCGAAAGUGUGGGGAGCGAACAGG